rnacentral:sRNA from 1 species
ACUGCCACGGAUGGCAUGGUUCCAAACAGAAACGAUGUUUUAAAGCAAAGUGGUUCCAAACAGAAACGAUGUUUUAAAGCAAAAGCAUUUGUAAAGCUUUAAAACUCGUGGUUUAGUUUUUGACACGGAUGUCAAAAACUAAACCGUU